rnacentral:rRNA from 1 species
GACGAACGCUGGCGGCGUGCUUAACACAUGCAAGUCGAACGGAAAGGCCCUGCUUUUGUGGGGUGCUCGAGUGGCGAACGGGUGAGUAACACGUGAGUAACCUGCCCUUGACUUUGGGAUAACUUCAGGAAACUGGGGCUAAUACCGGAUAGGAGCUCCUGCUGCAUGGUGGGGGUUGGAAAGUUUCGGCGGUUGGGGAUGGACUCGCGGCUUAUCAGCUUGUUGGUGGGGUAGUGGCUUACCAAGGCUUUGACGGGUAGCCGGCCUGAGAGGGUGACCGGCCACAUGGGGACUGAGAUACGGCGCAGACUCCUACGGGAGGCAGCAGUGGGGAGUAUUGCACAAUGGGCGGAAGCCUGAUGCAGCAACGCCGCGUGCGGGAUGACGGCCUUCGGGUUGUAAACCGCUUUCGCCUGUGACGAAGCGUGAGUGACGGUAAUGGGUAAAGAAGCACCGGCUAACUACGUG